rfam:Myotis davidii contig7948, whole genome shotgun sequence.
GGCGGUUCUCUGGUGAUGCAGCCUGGAAUCAGGCUUCUUCCUCUCUGGUUCCAGGUGCGUCCGGAGAACCACA